rnacentral:rRNA from 1 species
ACGGGUGAGUAACGCGUGGGAAUCUACCUUUUGCUACGGAAUAACGCAUGGAAACGUGUGCUAAUACCGUAUGUGCCCUUCGGGGGAAAGAUUUAUCGGCAAAGGAUGAGCCCGCGUUGGAUUAGCUAGUUGGUGGGGUAAAGGCCUACCAAGGCGACGAUCCAUAGCUGGUCUGAGAGGAUGAUCAGCCACAUUGGGACUGAGACACGGCCCAAACUCCUACGGGAGGCAGCAGUGGGGAAUAUUGGACAAUGGGCGCAAGCCUGAUCCAGCCAUGCCGCGUGAGUGAUGAAGGCCUUAGGGUUGUAAAGCUCUUUCACCGGUGAAGAUAAUGACGGUAACCGGAGAAGAAGCCCCGGCUAACUUCGUGCCAGCAGCCGCGGUAAUACGAAGGGGGCUAGCGUUGUUCGGAUUUACUGGGCGUAAAGCGCGCGUAGGCGGAUCGAUCAGUCAGGGGUGAAAUCCCAGGGCUCAACCCUGGAACUGCCUUUGAUACUGUCGAUCUGGAGUAUGGAAGAGGUGAGUGGAAUUCCGAGUGUAGAGGUGAAAUUCGUAGA